GUUCUGAGCUGCCCAUAGGCAGCAGAACAUAGUUUCAAGCCUCUCUGGCUGUUGCAAGAGAUCGCCUUCAGUUUCUGCAUCUCAUGAGAUUGUCAGACGCCACGCCUUUAAAUUUAUUUAUCACAUGGAAUUAUAUGGAUGAAGAUGAAGAAGUGGAUGCUAACAAAGAUAUUGAAGAGGAGAUAUUGGUGGGGCUGCUGCAGAUUGUGAUCGCUGUCGUUGUUGUUGGCGUCGAAUGCUAGUUGCAGAGGUGACAAGUCAAAAAAGUUGCUAACUCUAGUGAAGCUGAGAGGCAAAGCUGCAUUGAUGGAUACUCAUACUAUGCAAUAGUUGGACCUUACUCCUUACCAAAUUCAGAUAUUAUUUUUCAAGAAACAAGUGAUAGUCCC